rnacentral:lncRNA from 1 species
UGAAAACCUGUUCAGUCCUUGCACUGUUGUAAGACUGAUUCCUGUGAAGAAACAGGCUGCUAAAAAGAGAACUGGUGAGCUCAAAGAAAGAUACCCACUUCUACCAUGUUCUAGGAAGACCUCUAUGUCAACAGUACAAAUAUAAGCAUGAUGCCAGAUGUUCUGAAAAUUUCCUUGGGUCCCUCUUUCUGAGAGUUCGGGAGUGAAAGGAGCUGAUUUGGUUUAAAGGUUCUCUGAAGAUUAAUAUUAUCCCUCAUUUGCAGAACCAUUAAAAACUUGUAAUCAAGCAAAUGAGAACGUAAAUGUAAGUACAAGAUUGAGUUGGUGCUUCAGUAUAUACACAAAAUCAUAUAUUUUCUGAAUCAUCAAGCAUAACUUAAUCCCUCAGGGAAGUCAUACUUGACCAGUCAUUUUGGUGAAUAUGCAGAAAUGCUGAUAAAAAUAAAAGAAAUAACUGGUUUUGAUGUGAUAAUGUUUUGGAUGUUUAUUUUUUGUUUGUUCUGGUCACAGUUUGCCAAGACUUACUAAUUUCAGAUCUUGGUGUGUAUUAAAACUGCUUUUCCAUAGCUUUAGAUACUGGAUUACUUCUGUCCACACAUUGUAUUUACUGUAAUCAUUUUUCUUUUUGGAAAUUGCUCUGGUUGUUAUCCAACAGAUAGAAAUUUUAGCAAUUACUUUUGCUAAAUGGGACAUCAGUUCUUCAAACAUGCUUUUCUCCUUAAAGCUGUUUCUGCAUUCAUAUUUUAGAACAUUUUAUUCAUCUUUAACUCAGGAAUGACCUUUGUCAGCUGUCACUGUCAACUAGGCAUUGCUGCUCUUGACAGUUACUGUCAGCUCUGAAGAGAUGUAAAUCUCUAUCCUAUAUUCCACAGGGAUGGAAAACUGAAGAUCUCUUAACUGGAAUACAUAGUGGAAUAAGAACAACCACCCACAUACACAGUAAAUACUAUUCCUUCAGAAAAUAACUUGUCCUACUUACUAUCUAAAAUAGGGACAAACAUUUAAUGUGACACAUAUUUAAAAUAGGUCAGAGUAACAUUUGGAGGAUGUAAUAAAAGGAAUUGUAAAAAGUUCAUAUGUUCUGGCAUGGUUAGAGAUUCUGUAUAGUGCAGUAAAACACAAAAUUAUUAGCAAAAGCCACCUGAGAAAUAAUUUUUCCCCCCCUACUCUAUAUUUUCUGAUUUGUGUAGUCAAAAACAGUGCAUAAGGAUUUUUCUAUUCACAAAUUUGUAAUAAUUAUAGAAUUUGUACACGUAUAAUUACUCACUGGUAAUAACUGAUAAAAUACUCACUGGUAAUAACUGAUGGUUUUGAAUGUGCGUCUUCAUUAAUUCUAUUCGACCAAGAAGCCUAGAAUUCAGCAAAUCAUCACAGGACCACAUUACUUGAGAAGUCUCCUUGAAUAUUCACUAGGUUGACAAAUCAAAGGACAAGCCUGAUUGAGAAUUACAUAAUCCUCAGUUUUAUUUUUUAGUUUCUCAGCUAAAAAAUGAAGGAAAUGGAGGAAAACAGUAGAAACAAAGACAGUGCCUUAGCUUUUUAACAUUAUCAUGAUCUUUGAAAAUUUGAGACAAAAGAAUGUGUUGAGGCUGGUAUUUAAAUGCAAUGAAUGAUUUGGAACCCAAUGCCACAGGACAUUGUUGGUCGGAAAGCUUUGCAAGCCAGAUCAGUCUGAGGAUUGUCUUUCUUGAAUGUGUUUGCCUGUGUCCAUGUUUGUGUGUGCAUUUGUGUGUAAACAUCCAGAGAAAGAGAGAACUCUACACAGAUUCAAGAGAUUAAUUUAAUGUAUGUAUUCUAAUUUUUAUGUUUUGUUUUUCUGUAUCAAAGUUGCAAGGAUGAGUCAGUGCCUUUCACUGCUUUUAAGUCCCUGUGUUAUGGACCUGGGACAGUUUGUGAGGAAACCUAGAAGGCAGAUGCAGAGCAGGAGAAAGAGUAAUUUUUUUCUUCUUUCUGUUCUGCAUGAGUAUUCUGAAGGAGUAGAAUAUGGGAGGAAAAAGCAAACUCCUACAGUCCUUUUCUCUAACAUUGAAAUUUUCUUCCUGAUCUUAAUCUAUUGGGUUAUGGGGCAGUCCUGGAGAAUCGAAAACUUGUGACUGUCAGUUUUUCUUUUCCCUUGCUCUGUUCCUCUUCUUUGGUAAGUCUCCAUAAAGUCAGGAAUAAUGUGGCCUUAAUCAACUUUUCUUGUUAAGAACUAGGUAACGGAGGAAAAAUAGUUAUUUCUGUAGCUCUUGAGGAAUACAAUAAUCAUGAGAUUUGAUCAGGGAAAGUUUUAUUAACCACUUAUAUACUUUUCUAUUAACACUGCCCCCUGGAAGUAAUUCUUAGAAAUGAAAGCUGAGAUUCAAUUGGGCUAGAAAUGGGCAUCCAAGGGGAGUUCUAUUUGGAUUUCUCUUUGUUUUCAUUUUAGGAAAUUCAAAUCACUGGAGCAUUCAAAUCUUAAAAGCCUCAAUAGGCUAACAUUACUGGUUAAUAUGAAGUUGCUUCCACAAACCAAGAAUACUAAAGCUAAGACAAACCUAGUCCCAAAUGAGCAAUCUUCAUGCUAAGUGUCUUCUUCUGCUAUAAAUCCACACAUGUAUCUUUCCAUAAUGUCAAUGGAAAUCCUCUGGUAGACUAGAGUAAUAUCUGUCCCUAAGGAAACAGAUGAUUCAGAUCUUGAAGAGUAGCUACUAAACGAAACACAUCACAGUUCAGACGAUUUAGUCAUUUCAUUAACGUUAAGUGCCUUUUACCCUGGUGAAAUAGAUAUAAAAAGAAUAUGAUAUUGAUUUUAAAGUAAAAAUUCAGUCAAUAUUUUCCAGAGAAAAAAUCUGAAGAUAUUUAGAAAAUGUUAUUAACAUAGUUAACAGAGUAUGAAACCUUAGUUGUGAUGGUCAAGCAAAGGAAGUUACUAACAGUCUGAGAUAUCCACAAAAGGAAAAACAUGGGUCUUUUCUAUCCCACAGAAGUAGCUAUCACCACUAUCAAUUUUUCUUUUCUUUUCUUUCUUUUUCUUUUUUGAAAGACCACAGAGUAUAUAUCACAACCACAACUCUGUCUCCUUUUCCCUUGUAUAGACAUGCCUAUUUAUUAGGUUUCUGGCAAAUUUCCAGCCACCUCCAGCAGUGAUAGUUUGUUUGCUGUGUGCAGCACUAGGCACUUUCAAUUUGAAAGAUCAAUUUGAGGUGGUGAUAUUUCAAAAUUUGGAUCUCUUUUUUGUCAGCUGUCAGAGAUAGCGCCUGCUUGAACAGAACUACUUAUCAAUACUGGUCAGAAAAAUAAAAAAUAAAAAAAAGAAGAAAAGAUUUUUACAAAUUUGGUUUCAGUAUUUUUCCUGUAUGUUUAAGUCUUUUUUUUUUUUUUUGAAAGUUCAAAUAGAUUUCUUAGAAAAUCUUUGUUAGAAAUGAAAAAUGUAUAUUUCCUUUCAACCAUUUUUGACAUCUCUCAAGUUUUCCGAUUAUUUUUUGACAACCCAGCUGUACUCCAAACUGCUUGUUUAUCUUGAAAUAUAUAUAUAAAUGAUCUGAGAAAAAGAGAUAGAAAAUAGGAACUGAAAAUAUAUCAGCAAAGAGGCAAUGAUGCUACUUAUAACAAUGAUUACUUUGGUAGCUAUGGUGCUGGCAAUUUUUUCUUUUUGAAAAAAAAAGCUAUAAUGCUGCAAAAGGCACAUAACAAACAAAAUUUAAACUAGGGUAACUUCCAGACUUGAUCAUAGUAUUAGAAGAGAUUCAGACUUCC